UGCCUGUGGCUCAAAGGAGUAGGGCGCUAGCCCCAUACGCCAGAGUUGGCAGGUUCAAACCCUGCCCUGGCAA
rnacentral:tRNA from 1 species